rnacentral:rRNA from 1 species
CGGAGGGUGCAAGCGUUAUCCGGAUUUACUGGGUUUAAAGGGUGCGUAGGUGGGUCUGUAAGUCAGUGGUGAAAUCUCCGAGCUUAACUCGGAAACUGCCAUUGAUACUAUAGAUCUUGAAUUAUCUGGAGGUAAGCGGAAUAUGUCAUGUAGCGGUGAAAUGCUUAGAUAUGACAUAGAACACCAAUUGCGAAGGCAGCUUACUACGGAUCGAUUGACACUGAGGCACGAAAGCGUGGGGAUCAAACAGGAUUAGAUACCCUGGUAGUCCACGCCCUAAACUAUGGAUACUCGACAUACGCGAUAUACUGUGUGUGUCUGAGCGAAAGCAUUAAGUAUCCCACCUGGGAAGUACGACCGCAAGGUUG